rnacentral:rRNA from 1 species
UGGGGAAUUUUGGACAAUGGGCGCAAGCCUGAUCCAGCCAUGCCGCGUGCGGGAAGAAGGCCUUCGGGUUGUAAACCGCUUUUGUCAGGGAAGAAAUCUUCUGAGUUAAUACCUCGGGAGGAUGACGGUACCUGAAGAAUAAGCACCGGCUAACUACGUGCCAGCAGCCGCGGUAAUACGUAGGGUGCAAGCGUUAAUCGGAAUUACUGGGCGUAAAGCGUGCGCAGGCGGUUUUGUAAGACAGAGGUGAAAUCCCCGGGCUCAACCUGGGAACUGCCUUUGUGACUGCAAGGCUUGAGUGCGGCAGAGGGGGAUGGAAUUCCGCGUGUAGCGUGAAAUGCGUAGAUAUGCGGAGGAACACCGAUGGCGAAGGCAAUCCCCUGGGCCUGCACUGACGCUCAUGCACGAAAGCGUGGGGAGCAAAACAGGAUUAGAUAGCCCUGGUAGUCCACGCCCUAAAACGAUGUCAACUGGUUGUUGGGAAGGUUCCUUCUCAGUAACGUAGCUAACGCGUGAAGUUGACCGCCUGGGGAGUACGGCCGCAAGGUU